rnacentral:rRNA from 1 species
UACGUAGGGUGCAAGCGUUAAUCGGAAUUACUGGGCGUAAAGCGUGCGCAGGCGGUUUGCUAAGACAGGUGUGAAAUCCCCGGGCUCAACCUGGGAACUGCAUUUGUGACUGCAUCGCUGGAGUGCGGCAGAGGGGGAUGGAAUUCCGCGUGUAGCAGUGAAAUGCGUAGAUAUGCGGAGGAACACCGAUGGCGAAGGCAAUCCCCUGGGCCUGCACUGACGCUCAUGCACGAAAGCGUGGGGAGCAAACAGG